rnacentral:rRNA from 1 species
GACGAACGCUGGCGGCGUGCCUAAUACAUGCAAGUAGAACGCUGAAGGAGGAGCUUGCUCUUCUGGAUGAGUUGCGAACGGGUGAGUAACGCGUAGGUAACCUGCCUUUUAGCGUGGGAUAACUUUUGGAAACGAUAGCUAAUACCGCAUAACAGUAGAUGUUGCAUGACAUUUACUUAAAAGUUGCAAUUUCAUCACUACCAGAUGGACCUUCGUUGUAUUGGCUAGUUGGUGGUGUAACGCCUCAACAAGGCGACGAUACAUAGCCGAACUGAGAGGGUGAACGGCAAAAAUGGGAAGGAGAAAAGGCAAAGAAGGAUAAGGGAGGGAGCAGGAGGGAAACGUGGGAAAUGGACGGAAGACAGAACGAGCAAAGCCGAGGGAGGGAAGAAGGGUUUCGGAUCGGAAAGCUCGGUUGUAAGAGAAGAAAGAGUGUGAGAGUGGAAAGUUCACAAUGUGACGGUAACUUACCAGAAAGGGACGGCUAACUACGUG